GGUAACGCCUGCCCAGUGAAUCUUUAACGGCCGCGGUAUCCUAACCGUGCAAAGGUAGCGUAAUCACUCGUCCUCUAAAUAGGGACCAGUAUGAACGGCUAAAUGAGGACCAAACUGUCUCUUCUAAUCUAUCGAUGAAACUGAUCUCUCAGUACAAAAGCUGAUAUAUACCCAUAAGACGAGAAGACCCUGUGGAGCUUCAAAUCUAAAUCAACACAAGAUUACUAACAAUCACACACUGAUUUAACGAUUUUUAGUUGGGGCGACUUCGGAACAAAAAACAACUUCCGAGCACAAGAUUUAUUCUCAUUAAGACUAACAAGUCAAAACAACAUUUGACCCAGUCACACUGACCAACGAACCAAGUUACCCCAGGGAUAACAGCGCAAUCUUCUUCAAGAGUCCAUAUCGACAAGAAGGUUUACGACCUCGAUGUUGGAUCAGGACACCCAAUUGGUGCAGCCGCUAUUAAAGGUUCGUUUGUUCAACGAUU
rnacentral:rRNA from 1 species